rnacentral:rRNA from 1 species
AUCCUGGCUCAGAUUGAACGCUGGCGGCAUGCUUUACACAUGCAAGUCGAACGGCAGCACAGAGAGCUUGCUCUCGGGUGACGAGCGGCGGACGGGUGAGUAAUGUCUGGGAACUGCCUGAUGAGGGGGAUAACUACUGGAAACGGUAGCUAAUACCGCAUAACGUCGCAAGACCAAAGUGGGGGACCUUCGGGCCUCAUGCCAUCAGAUGUGCCCAGAUGGGAUUAGCUGGUAGGUGGGGUAACGGCUCACCUAGGCGACGAUCCCUAGCUGGUCUGAGAGGAUGACCAGCCACACUGGAACUGAGACACGGUCCAGACUCCUACGGGAGGCAGCAGUGGGGAAUAUUGCACAAUGGGCGCAAGCCUGAUGCAGCGACGCCGCGUGAAGGAUGAAGUAUUUCGGUAUGUAAACUUCUAUCAGCAGGGAAGAAAAUGACGGUACCUGACUAAGAAGCCCCGGCUAACUACGUG